UUGAAUUUUAGUUUAGUUUAGUUUAGUUUAUUAGAGAAAACUCAGCCGCAGAAGACUGCGUAACAGGAGCAUAUUUAUAUACACAAUAUUAAUUACAACAUAGUUCAUAAUACAAACAGAAUACAUUUUUAAAUUAUACAUCUUCAGAAAUAAGUUUGUGUUUAUUACAGUUUUAAAUUAGACAAGCAUCUUUUCUACCUUUUGAAUAAAAAUUGACAGCUUAGACAGCACGUUACUAUUACUAUAUUUAAGCAUGCCAAGUACUUUUUUUUCAUUUGGAUAUUUUAAAUAAUAUGGAGGUAUGAACUUCCCCCUUAAAUCCUUAACUUCACAGUUGGUACAUUUACAUAUAUAGUGGUAUACAUCUCCAAGACCAGCUUUACAGAGUGGACAAAUCCUAUCAUUUCGUGGUACAUUUCUCCAUCUUCCUGUUUCGAUGGGAAACUUUGUAUUACAUACCCUUAAUUUACAUAUGUUUACUCUAUGCCCCCGUCUUAAUUUUAACAGAUAUGUUUCCAAGCAAAACUCUUCUUUAAAGUGUAGAUAAAACUCCCCCCUUGAUGAAUUGUUUAUAUCUGAGAACCAUUUUUGAAUAAACUGGUCCUGGAGACGCUGCCUUACAUUAAUUUUAAUAUAAUUAUAAUCAACUUGCUCCGGAAAAUUAUAUAGUUCACAAAAGCCACAAUCAUUGAACACAGAUUUUACAUAGUUAAACCACUUAAAAUUACUACCUUCAUGCUCAUGCAUGUACCAAAGUAACUUAUAAAGU
rnacentral:lncRNA from 1 species